CAGCAGCCGCGGUAAUACAGAGGGUGCGAGCGUUAAUCGGAUUUACUGGGCGUAAAGCGUGCGUAGGCGGCUAAUUGAGUCGGAUGUGAAAUCCCCGAGCUUAACUUGGGAAUUGCAUUCGAUACUGGUUAGCUAGAGUGUGGGAGAGGAUGGUAGAAUUCCAGGUGUAGCGGUGAAAUGCGUAGAGAUCUGGAGGAAUACCGAUGGCGAAGGCAGCCAUCUGGCCUAACACUGACGCUGAGGUACGAAAGCAUGGGGAGCAAACAGGAUUAGAUACCCCGGUAGUCCCUGUCUCUUAUAU
rnacentral:rRNA from 1 species